UGGGGAAUUUUGGACAAUGGGCGAAAGCCUGAUCCAGCAAUGCCGCGUGUGUGAAGAAGGCCUUCGGGUUGUAAAGCACUUUUGUCCGGAAAGAAAUCCUUGGCUCUAAUACAGUCGGGGGAUGACGGUACCGGAAGAAUAAGCACCGGCUAACUACGUGCCAGCAGCCGCGGUAAUACGUAGGGUGCAAGCGUUAAUCGGAAUUACUGGGCGUAAAGCGUGCGCAGGCGGUUUGCUAAGACCGAUGUGAAAAUCCCCGGGCUCAACCUGGGAACUGCAUUGGUGACUGGCAGGCUAGAGUAUGGCAGAGGGGGGUAGAAUUCCACGUGUAGCAGUGAAAAUGCGUAGAGAUGUGGAGGAAUACCGAUGGCGAAGGCAGCCCCCUGGGCCAAUACUGACGCUCAUGCACGAAAAGCGUGGGGAGCAAAACAGGAUUAGAUACCCUGGUAGUCCACGCCCUAAACGAUGUCAACUAGUUGUUGGGGAUUCAUUUCCUUAGUAACGUAGCUAACGCGUGAAGUUGACCGCCUGGGGAGUACGGUCGCAAGAUUAAAACUCAAAUGAAUUGACGGGGUCAUAGCUGUUUCCU
rnacentral:rRNA from 1 species